GCGGUAAUUCCAGCUCCAAUAGCGUAUGCUAAAGCUGCUGCGGUUAAAAAGCUCGUAGUUGGAUCUCAGUUGCGGGCGGGUGGUGCAUCUACCCGAUGUGACAGCCCGAUCUGAACAUCUUGCCUUCUAUCCUCUGGUGUCCUUCACUGGAUGCCUUUGGGUGGUCGGUGCAUUUACUUUGAAAAAAUUGGAGUGCUCAACGCAGGCGAAGUGCCUGAACACUUAUGCAUGGAAUAAUAGAACAAGACCCCGUUUCUGUUCUGUUGGUUUUUGGAAAACGAGGUAAUGAUCAAGAGGGACUGACGGGGGCAUUCGUAUUGCGGCGCUAGAGGUGAAAUUCUUGGACCGUCGCAAGACGAACUACAGCGAAAGCAUUUGCCAAGAAUGUUUUCAUUGAUCAAGAACGAAAGUUAGAGGUUCGAAGGCGAUCAGAUACCGCCCUAGUUCUAACCAUAAACGAUGCCAACCAGCAAUCCGCCUGAGUUACUCCAAUGACUCUGCGGGCAGCUUCCGGGAAACCAAAG
rnacentral:rRNA from 2 species